AGCAGCCGCGGUAAUUCCAGCUCCAAUAGCGUAUAUUAAAGUUGUUGCAGUUAAAAGCUCGUAGUUGAAUUUCGGGAUCAAUUGAUUGGUCAUGCCUUGGUAUGAACUGGUCAUAUUGGUUCUCACCUUCUAAUGAACCAUAAUGUCAUUCACUUGAUGUUAUGGGGAAUUAGGACUGUUACCUUGAAAAAAUUAGAGUGUUUAAAGCAGGCUUACGCUUGAAUACAUUAGCAUGGAAUAAUGAAAUAGGACAUCGCAUUCUAUUUUGUUGGUUUCUAGGAUCGAUGUAAUGAUUAAUAGGGAUAGUUGGGGGCAUUAGUAUUCAAUUGUCAGAGGUGAAAUUCUUGGAUUUAUUGAAGACUAACUACUGCGAAAAGCAUUUGCCAAGGAUGUUUUCAUUAAUCAAGAACGAAGUUAGGGGAUCGAAGACGAUCAGAUACCGUCGUAGUCUUAACCAUAAAACUAUGCCGACUAGGGAUCGGAUGAUGUUAAUUUUUUAAAAUGACUCAUUGCGGCACCU
rnacentral:rRNA from 1 species